ACACACACACACACACAAAACACGUGCUACUUGUGUAUCCAUCCUGACGCGCAGAGGUUUGCUGGAGGGCCGGGUGGCCUAGUUUGUCAAACUGAAUUCCGACGCCGCCGCGUUCCUUUCAUACUCGCUUCAGCAAUGAAGGUGGAGGAGUCAAUGUUCUACCACAAGACGAUAUUGGCGCCGAUGGUACGCGUGUGCAGCCCUGGCUUUCGCGCCCUGUGCGGCGCACACGGUGCCGAUGUCGUCUUCACUGAGGAGGUGGUGGCCGCCAAGCUUGCGACAUGCCAGCGCGAGGUGGUGCACUACCCCACAGUAGACACGCCGAUGGCCGAAUACGUGUCCUACGACCCCUUCAAAAACACCUACAAGCGUACUGUUGUGCUGAGCACGCCUGUGCUCCCUGACAUCACCUGCGGCGGACACAAGGCAGAGCGCAUCGCUGCCCCUCGCAUUGUGCUGCAGCUUGGCGUCGCAGACCCUGCGCGUGGUGCGGCUGCGGCGCUUGUGUGCAGCAAUGACAUAGACGGCAUCGACAUCAACAUGGGAUGCCCCAAAAAGUUCAGUGUGCACAACGGCUUCGGCGCCGCACUGAUGAAGCGGCCGGAGGUCGGCGGGGCUAUUGUGCGGGCCGUGCACGACGCGGUGAACAGCGACUCGAAUGUGGAAGCACGGGGUGGUAAGCGCGUCGCCAUGAGCCUCAAGACACGUCUUCAGGACACUGCCGAAGCCACUGUGGGGAUGCUGCGAGCGAUACUGGCGGCGGCGCAGCACACGCCGACGAACCCUAUCCUGCACGCCAUCACCAUUCACGCCCGCACGCCGGACCAGCGGUCUGAGCAAGCUCCGCUGUACGACCGCGCGGCAGAGGUGGUACGCACCUGCAGGGCCGACGCCGCCUUCGAAGGCAUCUGCUUGGUUCUGAACGGCUCCGUGUUGUCGCGCCAAGACGGGGAGGCAAAGUGCGCGCUGUACGGCUUCGACGCAGCCAUGAUUGCUCGCGCCGCCCUGGAGGACGCGCGUUGCUUUCACCGCAAAGGCAGCGAACUUCGAUUCUCCUCUGCUGCUCACGACAGCGAGGCGCAGUCGACGGAGGACGCUGAGGUGUACGCCAUGGCCAUAAUGAAGGAGCUCUUUUUCUACUCGGUGCGCUACCGCACCCUCUUCAACAACUUCAAGUACCACCUCACGCGCGCGUUUCCGAUGGUGAAGGCCCUAAAGCCGUUCAUGGAGGAGGUGCAGGUUGAGCUGCGCAGCUACGCCGACUGCUACGAGUUCUUCCGCUUGACUGUAGAGGAGAAGGCGCUGGCGGACUCGUGUGCGCACACGGUGGAGCUGCUCGUGGAGAAGUCGGCAUCCACGCGAAAGCGUGCAGCGGUGACCGCGGCGGCGAGUGAGGAGGUUGGCGCGCAAGAGCACAAGCUUGCCCGUGUCGAGACGACGAAAGCGUCCAGUUAAAGCGGCGCUAUCGUCGUCCCUUCCCUCCCACUGUGCGCGUGUGUGUUCUCGUGUGUCAGAGUGCUUGUACAGUAUCACAUCAUUCUUUUCUUUAUCCCUCCACGCACACGUGUGUGUGUAUUAGUGUGGACAUCACCCUAACAGAGCGACGCGAACAUUGUAAGCCGACAUGAAAGCGAGCCACACACACACACGUCAAACGAGCUAUGCACACUGGCAGCCGCCUCGGCACUUGAGGCGCCGUACGCGGUGCUUGACAUUUCGUGAUGCGCAGCUCAUGAGAGAGCGUGCCUUAUCUCUCUCUGUCACAAGCGUCUGCAGUAGCAGCGGCCAAGUAUACCGGUCCCCCUGCCUUCUCCGUGAUAUGUGUUUUCUCUCCGUGAGCACACACCGCUUCCACUACACACCGCCACUUUAUCACCUCCCCACCCAUUACCCUGAG
rnacentral:misc_RNA from 1 species